rnacentral:misc_RNA from 1 species
UCCGGUUUGUCACCGGCAGUCUCGCAUGAGUCCCCAACUGAAUGCUGGCAACAUGCGACGGGGGUUGCGCUCGUUGCGGGACUUAACCCAACAUCUCACGACACGAGCUGACGACAGCCGUGCAGCACCUGUCUUCCUGUCGUAUUGCUACGAAAGCCGUAUCUCUACGGAUGUCAGGAGAUGUCAAACCCAGGUAAGGUUCUUCGCGUUGCUUCGAAUUAAACCACAUGAUCCACCGCUUGUGCGGGCCCCCGUCAAUUCCUUUGAGUUUUAGUCUUGCGACCGUACUUCCCAGGCGGGGUACUUAGUGCGUUAGCGCCGGUUCAGCGGGGGUCAAGACCCACUAAACCUAGUACCCAUCGUUUACAGCGUGGACUAC